ensembl:lncRNA
AUGAAAAAUUCACAGAGACGAGGAGCUGGAAGAAAUCGACAUUUCUCCUGCGACUUUCACUUCGGGGAGAGCAAGAUAUUAGAGGUCAAGGGAACAGCAGGGCCUUUAUGUCAUGCCGGUUGGCCUGAUACCAGAGAGAUUCCAACUAGGAUGGUGGAGAAAACGACACCUGCUCUUAAUUGUAAGUCUUUAAUACAGACAUUUUCGGUUGCCAUAAUUCAUACGAUUGAAAUCAUUUGCGCUCAGUUAAUUUUAGGGCAUUUGCGCCUUCUUCUGCAAUGUGUUACCUUUCCUCUUUCCUCUGGAGUCAUCUCUCCCUGCGGAUCCCAGCCGAGCACAUUAGAGAUCUGAAGAGGACCAGAGGGCCGCAGUAACUCCGACAGGGGUUCGUGCAGCCGGAGAGAGACAUGGAGGACUAAGUGAUCACUUUAUAAAUGAAAGCAGAUGCCUGGAAUUAUGAACUGUCGCUCCGCAGAUGGAGAACGUCGUUGAUGAAGCGCUUCCCGACCCCACUCAUGAUCACUCACUUCUGAAGCUCGCGUGUGUUCCGCCGUCACGCGUGUACCAACACAAUCACGCUUGAGUGAACGGGUUAAACCUGCUCUCAGACACAUGAUUAGGGUCCCGUUCCCCCCGUUCCUUGCGAUGCUUCGUAUUUUGCACCCGAGCAUCACGUUUGAUUGAUCUGGUUGUUGUAGCAUUUGUGAUUGAUGGCGGUUGUUGCACGGCACAAGCCCGCCAGCGCUUCUCCGAAAGCGAGCAAAGAAGGGCCUGUCAGUGUCAUUGAUCUUCUUAUAAAUGAAAUGUUCCGUUUCCCGCUGCAUUUUAUUGUUAAAUGCAGUUCAUUAGCGACGAAGAGAUUUAUCACCGAUGCUCUGUGUCGAGUGAAUCACUGCACUACAACAGAGCAUGCCACGCUGCCUGGUAGGCCGAGCCAACCUGAGGGCAAAACCAUCCAUCUCAUGUGGGAUCUGUCACUGAGAACGAUGCUGACCCAGAAUAUACCAUCUUGUCCUAAGUGUGUGUGAUAUCGCCAUCAAACGGUUCAGAGAUAAUAAACGAGUUGAUCUUCUCUUAAGCUGCGUGUGA